CCGGCGGGGCCGCUGUUGGGGGGCGGGGCCGCCGCGGCCUCACGACCUCAGCGGGGCGGCUGCGGUCGGCGCGGCCGCCGGGGUAGGCGCGGCCCGCCACCCCAUGGCUAAUGCCAUCCCCGCACCCGGGAGCGCUCGCGAUCUGUUGGCCCAGCUCGGGCUGUAGUUUCGCAGCGUGAAGUGCCGGUGGGCGCUGUGGUGGGUGGCUGGGACGCGGCCUGCGCAGCGCCGGCCUCUGUGGGCGCAGCGGGGGGCGGCGAGCGCCCUGCCCUGCCCUGCCCUGCGCUGUCCUGCCCUGCCGUGUCCGGCCGAGCGGCCUGCGCUCGCUGCCGCUUGCCGGCCUCUCCGAGUCGUGGAGUGACGCAUUUCAGUGCGUCCGUUGGAAAUCUGUGUGGGCGGGCAGGAGUACAAAUUACCAGAUUUCAGACAUCCGCUCAGCAGCGAGCCCGGUAUGGGUUAGUGUGUCCUGCUGCCCGUGGAGAGCGAAGCUGAGAAUUUGGAUGGGGCAAGUUUCAAACAAGAGAAUGUUUGGGGAUUUCAGGAAGUUUGUUGGAAGGAACUUCGGAAAGUUCAGUUCAAUGCCAGCAACAAAGAAGGAUAACGUAGACUGUGUAAAGUGGUUGGUGCUCUUGCAGUGGACAUAGAAAAUGAAUGUAGGAACAACAUUAAAUAGACUGGGAAUUUCUUACCACUGAAAGAAGAAACUUGAAAAAUGCCUUCUGGCUGUGUGGACCUGCAGGUGCCCAGAGGGAUAUUUGAUAUAUGGCUUUUAAUAACUGACUGAAAGAAGAGGUAGCAGAAUGGAGUUUCCAGAAAAGCGGUAAUAGAGGAAAGAUAACAUUUGUCUAACUCAGACCAUGGAUUUCAGACAAAUGAAAUUCUGUAACUUGUUCCAACAGUGUGACUGGUAGCGGAUGCACAGGGAAUGGUGGACGAGCAAGGCAAAUACAUACUGCUACUCCUGGGGAAUGUUUCCUCAGCUUCCAGUAUUGCUCGGAAGAUAGUCCUCCUCAGUGAUCCCCUCCUAACCAGGGCUGUCAAACUAUUCUUCAAGGGUCCAGUAGACAGCAGGAAGUUUUGUUUUCUUCCAGGAGCAAACACAAGCUUUUUCUGUUCAGCAACUGAUGGAGAGAAACUCAAGUGAAAAUGGAAGUGGAUCCAUGAGAGAGCCAAAGAAGAGAGAGUACAGCUAGAGUGAAAGAAGAUCUUGAUUCAGCAAGGGUGGUAUAAAAGAGGAGAUCUGACAGUUAAAUGGGAGUGAAGAAAAAGCAUCAGGGAAGUUAGUAAGGUUGCAACAGGUAUUAACGAAGCAGGGAAGACCAGGGUCAGUUCGCAGGUCUGUGGUUUAACAAAGUAUUUAAAAUGGGAUUAUUUGGGGGUAUUUUAGACGCUUAGCUUUUAAACAUGUGGGCCUGAGCUGGUCGUUCUCAGCUCUCAUUAUAUCAACAAGGAGAAAUAAGCACUUCAAGGGUGAGAUUCUUCUGACCUAGUUUAGAUGUCUGUCUUUGCAGUGAGCCAAUAAUCUCACCCUAUGAGGUGGCUAGUUCAGAUCUAGCUGUCUGAAUAUUUGGUAUCUGUGUUAUGACAGCAAAUCCCUUUCAGUGUUAAAAGGUCAGAGAAGGGCAGAAGGUGAUGGACCAAGGAGAGGGGAUCAGGGCUAAAGGAAAUGCAUGAAGGACAGCUGCAGUUACAAGGCUGGUGGAAGAGAGAAACAACUUCAUUUCUAACUCAGCAUUGCUCUGUGCUCAGCAGGGAACCUGCGCUCAGGGAGCUGAACUUCUUAAGAAGAUAAAAUCUCAAUAAAUGUCAACCAUGCAAGCAGAUGUGACUGAAGGGCUGGGAAUUUCUGAGUCUGCGUAGAUGCACGUGCCUCAGAAGCAGUGUUACUUAAUACUGCAUAAGAGUGGUAUGGUUCUGAACUUCUGAUCUUUAAGUGCUGCAUAUUACAAGAGACAGGAGACAAAGGAGCAAAGGAGUUAGGAUUUUGAAAUAAAGGAAUGUAAAUUUAUUGGUGAUAUUUUGACCUCUGAAUGAUGCCGAGCAGUACUGCUUGAGUAUACUUGCUUCUGACCUCAGUAAAAGUGGUGAAUGCUAAAUACAUCUGAAAAUCAGGACAAUGUCCAAAUGUUAAUGCAGGAACGUGACUUUAGACUUCUUUUGAAACUCUCUGUUUGCAAUUUCAGAAGUGACCUGUGAUUCUGACUCACUCAGUUUGAGAUGCUAUUAUGCUUCUGACACUGCUUUACAUAUUCAGUGUACGUGCAAAUAGGAUGAGGCCUGCACUUACACUCGACGAGCGGGAGUAAUACUGUCAUCAGUCUAACUGAGCAAUGUCUGGGUGAAUUGAUAGCGGAAAAUGCGGGGAACAUGCACUCAGAUUCAGAGUAGCUUCACCAGACAACUGUCUGCUGCUUGACUGACUAUUCAACAGCUCACCUGCUCUUGUGUUACAGACUGACUGGACUUGCACAGAAAGUGAGUUGGAAAGGGAAGUAUCUAAAACUUUUGGAGAUUUCUGCUUACUGUAAUAUUUUCAUGUAUUAGAAGAAAAGUAAAAUGGUUUGAUAAGAUAGAAUGGGAUUCUGUGCUGCUCUGUAUUAUAUAUUUUAUUUUCACAGGUUAACUCUGCUGUUUUCAUAUCUUAGGAAGAAGAUCUAAUUCUAUUUUAUUUAAAAAAUUAUGCAAUUCUUCUGAUAAUGCAAAUAGGUCUCACCUGAACUGGGAUUACAGUAGGUUCCUGUGAGGAUCUCAAAGUAGGCACAGAGAUCCCAAUGUAGAAAGUCAAUCUGAGGAAGAAAUACAGCAACUCAAAUCAGCCUGGCUUCAUUUUCUUUGUUUCAGGAUAAACUUCCCAAUAAACAGGAUUUAAUUUUUUUCAAAGACCAUAAGAUCAAGGCUUGUAUGAAAACACAUUUUGAAAAAAAUAGAAAAAGAUUUUUUUCUCUUUCUCUUAGAUUUUGUAUAGCUGUAUACCUUUUGUAUACCUCUGUGGUAUCUACACGCUUUCUUUCAUAAUUCUUGUAUUAUGGAAAGGCAGACCGUCAAAUGAAGAUGUGUAUUUCAAGUCAUCUAGUUAGCAAGGAGUAUUUAAUAUAAGAGUUUGAUAGAAAGAAAUAUUUAGUAGAUGAGAUGUGCCUACCACAGGAAGGGUUUGUUCUCUUAUACCGUUACAGUAGAACGACUUGUCUUCAAACAAGCAACUUGUAGCAGUAUCUCAUUGGUUACCCCAGUCAGAUAACCCCUCCCCCCCAAAGACUCCUUGAAAGGAGUUGCUAUGUUGUGUAUUGAUAAAAUCACAUUAUUCUAUUAAAAAGUGUUUUUCUCCGCAGUGUUUUGUGGAAGACUGACACAGACAAUGGUGUUAGUGGCCUACAAUAGCCUCUACGCCAGACUACAGUGAUUGCAUUGUCCUCAAUUUUCUGUCUCUCUGGAAAUUAGUAGAAGGUCUUUCUCUGACUACAAGAGGGCAAGGUUUUCACCCUCUUGGAUUUUGGAGUUGAUGAUGCCCAUAGGCCAUUUCAGGUAAGACUGAAUGAUCAGAAAUCAAGGGAGGAGGCUACAGGCAAAUGAGCAGCAUGUGUGCAGCAGGGAAUGACAAAAUUUUAUGUGUCUGUUCAUCAUCUCAAGCUAAUAUUCAUCUUAUUUGCUUCUUUUCUUAUUUUGAAGCGUUAGUUUUUCACUGAAUUUAGCUAUAUAAUGGUACAGAGGUCUACUGCAAAGAGCAAAACUAAUACCACAUGCAUUACAAAACUGACUGCAGGAAUUAUUCAUAGUUGCAUGCAUUUCAUGCUUGUUCUCUACUCCACUGUGAUCUGCUUCAUAGGCUUCGUAAUGAGAAUCCUUUAUUCAGUGGUUUACAAGAGAUAAAAAUCCCCAAAGUUAUUUCUGCUAUUGAUUAUCUUUCUGGGAAUGGGAUUUUCGGGAGGAUAGUAAUUCUGUGUAUUCCUGAGGAGUUUGUAAUAAGAGAGCAAUUAUGUUUUUCUUUUUUUAUUGCAGUAAAUUGGGGUGUAGGGAUAGUCAGUCAAAUUAUUCCUGACUCUUUACUGGAAUGAAAGACAACUGGCAGAAGUCUAACCCAGGGGAAAUUCAUGCAGUCAUAAAGCUCCCAAGAAAUAAUUUUUUGGUUAAGAAGGACAACUCAGAACAAAAAUAACACAAAGAUUAAAUGUCAGAGUAUACUGUUUUCAGUAUAAAAUAAGCAUUUUCUGUGAACUAAUUGGGAAUGGAAUGUAUUAGGACCAGUAUUUUGGUAGUAAUUUGUAACUCACUAAAUAAUUUCAGUAUCUAAAUGGACUAUUUUGAACCAAAGAAAAUGCUUUUAAUUCUGGAAAGGGAAUACAGUUGUAUUCCACAUGACCUUUAACCAGUUUUCUAAUUUUUAGAGAACAGCAUUUGCUGUUCAUCUGUGCCUGUUUUAACUCCUGUUGUUGCUGACAUAAUGAUAUCCCUGACUGAUAUAGAUCAUUAGUCUGACAGAAAGCCUCGUAUAAUUUAUUUCCAGAUGGUAAGUUAGGCUUUUGCAAUCUGUGGAAAGUUAGUGCAAAUACAGUGCUCUACUUCCUUCCUCACCAGAAGACUUUGAACUUCUGUUUUUAUUCUCAUGUCAGACCAGGACAUACAGCACAAAGACAGAUCUUUUCCCUCUUGUGAUCACCAAGGUGAGAUGACACAAGAUACAAACAGAAGUGGGUUAUUCAAAGUGUUCUCAGCAUUACUGAGAGGGGUCUCUGUUCUGACUACUCUUUGUCAAAUUUUUAUGGCACUCGCAUAGAAGUAAUUUUUAGGGAAGCAGGAGAAGAAGGGCAGCAAGGAGCCUUUACAGAUGUUUAAAGUGCACUGCAGGAGAAGACGAAGAGUUUUCUUGAAAAUUUAACGGUGGCUGGUUGGUGGCAGGGUUUGAGAGUGAUAAUAUAGGUAAAACUGUGGAAGGAAUGAUGAUAGGCAGGAGGUGGGGAGACAGAUAUGAGAACCACUGCCUCAUAGUGUAGCAUUAGAUAUUGUUUUCUGGCCGUUCCCUUGUGUAGUUGGUGAGGGCUGGACCUUUAUUUUUUCAUUAAUGGUAGUUUUUUACCUUUUGUUGCUACUUACUUGUGUCUAGGUUUGGCCUUGCAUUCUUAGUCACAAUCUUUUCUUUGCUCUGAGUCACAUUAGAUUACUGCUGCCACCAUUGUUCCUGCUUUGUUUGCUGGAACUUUUCCUGCUACUCAGGAAAAAAAGAAAAGAACUGUGAAAGGAAUGGGAAAAUUGGAGGGUAGGUAGGAAAAGGAAACAGAUCUCAUGUCAUUUUCUUUCAUUAUAACAUGCUGCCUUUUACAGUUUCUGUACAAUGCAGCUUGUCUCUAUGGGCUAUAUUCCAGGCAAGGUUUUCUUCAUAUCGGCUAUUAAUAAGCUCUGUCUUUUGGCAUUAAAAAAUGUUCCAGCCCUCUGAACUUGGCAAAGUUGGUAUUUUGUAGUGUGCAUGAUGGAGGAGCCCAUGGUGUCACCUGCUUCUGCCCUCCAUGCGAGCUGGAAGGGAAUGGACUAAAAUGGGCAGGUCUAAGUCAGCUCUGCAGUUCUUUUCUUUUCUGUUUUAUGGGAAUUUAUGUUAGCCAAACAAACUAAACAAAAAAAACAGAAACAAAAGGGAAACCAAAACAAGUAGUGAAGCUGUUUCAGUGGGUGUGGAUGGAACAGUUUGACUAAUGCCAGGGAAGGAACUGAUGAGCAGUAGAGAGGAAUUUCAGUCCUGACUACACUAUAAAAUCUGAAGGAUAUGUGCUUGACUUUUGUGCAUAGUGUAUGCAUCUAUGUGCCAGAUGGCAUCUGAGAUGUGCCUAACAUUAUUUCCUAUGGAUUAAAGAUUACUGAUACCAGGUUAUGGGUAUGAAAAAACACAGUGAAAUAUGACUUCUCUGAGUAGAAAGGAAACUGAGGCAGUCAGCAUCAAGAUGCUAGUUUUUCUUUUCCUAUUGCAGGAUAUACAGCUUUUAUUUUAGGCUCCCUUUUGUAUCUGAGUUAAGAGCUGACAGACAAUGAAUGUAUUUAAGCUAGUGUAGAGGGCCAAGUAUAGUGCCAGAUGCUCUGUGAGAACUUUAGAGUUUUGGGAAAAGGAAGCCAAGGUAGUGUUCAGUGUUCCUGAAAGGCAACAUUUGUUAAUAAUAGGGGACAUUGAAUGAGGCAGUCAUCUUAAAUGAAGCAUGAAAUUGGGUGACAACAAAAUCAGAGAGCAAAUCUGUGAAGACGUUACUUCUGUAAGGACUCUUCACAUGGGCUGGACACUGACUGUUCUAGAUUAAAGAUUUAGAAUCAAGUCCUACGGGAUUUAUCAGUGACGUAUUGACAAAAAAAAGUUAAUGACUUAUUUUUUUCUGAUAAAAGAACUUGAUCUGUAUAUAUCCAUUCGCAGGAGAUAUAUUUAGCAGGUUCUAAGCAUGUAAUAAACUACAGAAAAUGAUCCUGUUUUUUUCUUGCUUUCUAUUUUUGCUUAUUGAUAUGUAUAUAUAAAAUAUGUAUGUGUGUGUAUAUAUGUAUGUAUACUUAAUAAAAAACCACAAGGGAUUUGCAGAGA